GAAUGCACACACGGGGGCCCGCACCAGUGGGCUGAGAGGACGGCUAGGGCCGUCGACCGUCGAACCUGUCCGGGUAAUGCCGGCGUAGGGAGUACUUUCCGUGAGCAA
rnacentral:ncRNA from 2 species